rnacentral:tRNA from 2 species
UGGUGUAAAACUCAUGUGGAAGAGUAAUAAGCUUUUAACUUAUAAGCAGUUGGUUCGACUCCAGCUACACCAG